CGGUUGGUCUGUCUGGGGUUGUGUGUUGUCUCUCUGUCCCGGUUGGUCUGUCUGGGGUUGUGUGUUGUCUCUCUGUCCCGGUUGGUCUGUCUGGGGUUGUGUGUUGUCUCUCUGUCCCGGUUGGUCUGUCUGGGGUUGUGUGUUGUCUCUCUGUCCCAGUUGGUCUGUCUGGGGUUGUGUGUUGUCUCUCUGUCCCGGUUGGUCUGUCUGGGGUUGUGUGUUGUCUCUCUGUCCCGGUUGGUCUGUCUGGGGUUGUGUGUUGACAGUCUGAUAUCAGACAUUAGACUCUGCUGUUCUACAGGCCUCCUGGGUGAUGUCAGCUCUUCAUUCCUCUACUCUCUGUUAUAAUGUAAAUGGCAUUCCAGGUGUGUGAGUCUCAGUCACCCGUGACCCCGCCCCUCGACGAACUUUGUCAGCCUGUCAGUGACCCUGAAGCCCCUCCCACUGACCGCACCAACGUCCCACUGAGAGAGACGAGCAGAACGAGUGGAACCUGUGUACCCUGCCAGCCCCUUCACAGCCCCCCACCUCCCCUCCCAGACCCGUCCCAAAAGACCAGAGGCACCAAGAUGUCCUCCAAGAAGGCUGGUCCUGCAGCAUCUAAGAACCGAUCAAGACGGACCAGAACCAGUGUUGUGUCUUAGUGCCUUUCUGUACCCCACACAGUGCCCUAGUUUAAACCACAGACCUACUGUACCACACAGUGCCCUAGUUUAAACCACAGACCUACUGUACCCCACACAGUGCCCUAGUUUAAACCACAGACCUACUGUACCCCACACAGUGCCCUAGUUUAAACCACAGACCUACCGUACCCCACACAGUGCCCUAGUUUAAACCACAGACCUACUGUACCCCACACAGUGCCCUAGUUUAAACCACAGACCUACUGUACCCCACACAGUGCCCUAGUUUAAACCACAGACCUACCGUACCCCACACAGUGCCCUAGUUUAAACCACAGACCUACUGUACCCCACACAGUGCCCUAGUUUAAACCACAGACCUACUGUACCCCACACAGUGCCCUAGUUUAAACCACACACCCACUGUACCCCACACAGUGCCCUAGUUUAAACCACAGACCUACUGUACCCCACACAGUGCCCUAGUUUAAACCACAGACCUACUGUACCCCACACAGUGCCCUAGUUUAGACCACAGACCUACUGUACCCCGCACAGUGCCCUAGUUUAGACCACAGACCUACUGUACCCCACACAGUGCCCUAGUUUAAACCACAGACCUACUGUACCCCACACAGUGCCCUAGUUUAAACCACAGACCUACCGUACCCCACACAGUGCCCUAGUUUAAACCACAGACCUACUGUACCCCACACAGUGCCCUAGUUUAAACCACAGACCUACUGUACCCCACACAGUGCCCUAGUUUAAACCACACAACCACUGUACCCCACACAGUGCCCUAGUUUAAACCACAGACCUACUGUACCCCACACAGUGCCCUAGUUUAAACCACAGACCUACUGUACCCCACACAGUGCCCUAGUUUAAACCACAGACCUACUGUACCCCACACAGUGCCCUAGUUUAAACCACACAACCACUGUACCCCACACAGUGCCCUAGUUUAAACCACAGACCUACUGUACCCCACACAGUGCCCUAGUUUAAACCACAGACCUACUGUACCCCACACAGUGCCCUAGUUUAAACCACAGACCUACUGUACCCCACACAGUGCCCUAGUUUAGACCACAGACCUACUGUACCCCACACAGUGCCCUAGUUUAGACCACAGACCUACUGUACCCCACACAGUGCCCUAGUUUAAACCACAGACCUACUGUACCCCACACAGUGCCCUAGUUUAAACCACAGACCUACUGUACCCCACACAGUGCCCUAGUUUAAACCACAGACCUACUGGAUCCAUAACAACCCUUCAAUAAACCUCUGAUAAGUCCAUCCUUUAUGAAGCGUUUUGACUCUUCACUUUUAAGCUACUUUCUGGGAACAUUAAAAAUGUUUUUCCUGAAAUCCUAGUUGGUCUUUCUGUGCUUAUUCCCUCCAGAUUCUGGGAAUAAUACAACCAGGGAAUUCCAACUGUGAGUUAACAGAAGUUUUGCAACCCGGUCGGUUUUCUUUUCUUUCUUUUUUUGCAUAAAUCUGUUCUUCUCACUGCUUCCAUCUGUUUCUGUCUCUGUCUUCUGAUGUCACAUAACCUGCACAUAUGGCCUACGUAGGCCCUUC
ensembl:lncRNA